rnacentral:rRNA from 1 species
UACAGAGGUCUCAAGCGUUGUUCGGAUUCAUUGGGCGUAAAGGGUGCGUAGGUGGCGGGGCCAGUCAGGUGUGAAAUCCCGGGGCUUAACCCUGGAACUGCAUUUGAUACUGCCUUGCUGGAGAACUGGAGAGGAGACUGGAAUUUACGGUGUAGCAGUGAAAUGCGUAGAGAUCGUAAGGAAGACCAGUGGCGAAGGCGAGUCUCUGGACAGUUACUGACACUGAGGCACGGAGGCCAGGGGAGCAAACGGG